AUGGACGCCGCCGGAGGGGGAGGAGGAGGAGGAGGAGGAUUUGCGAACUACGCCGAAAUCGCGGCGCACUUCAACAAUCUGACACUGGCGGUCCUGUCCGCGCAGGACCGCAUCGAUUCCAUCGUCCCCUACCUCAUCUCCCUCCUGCCCGUACCCUUCGUCCCCGCGCCCGACGCCGACGACUCCUCCAACUCCGACGACGACCACUUCUCCCUCACCUCCUCCGACUCCGAGGACGACGUCGCCGACGACCGACCCGCUGCCGUUCCGGCGGCGCAGGACGAUGACGGCCAGGACCACAUCAGCCGCCUCCCGGACGACCUGCUCUCCAACAUCAUCUCCCGCCUCCCCACCAACGAAGCCGCGCGCACCAUGGUCCUCUCCACCCGCUGGCGCGGCGUCUGGGCGGCGACCCCGCUCCUCGUCGACGACGCUCACCUCAGGGCCGCCGACGGGCUCUGCGAGCUCCGCUCCGUCUCGCGCUGCGUGGCCGCUCACCCGGGCCCCGUCCUCGCCGCGCGCGUCACCCGCCUCUCCUUCUACCAGCACGAGUACGCGCUUCAGCAACUGAUUGCCAACCUUGCCGCGAGGAACAUCCAGGACCUCAUCCUCUUCAACCGCCCCUGGCCGCUCGACCUGCCGCUCCCCGACGAUAUCCUCAGCUGCGCCUCCCUCACCCGCCUCUACAUCGGUCUCUGGCGAUGGCGCUUCCCAGACACGACCGCCAACUCGCCUGCCUUCCCCAACCUUCAGGAGCUCGGCCUUUUCCACUCCAUCAUCGAGGACAGGGAAGUCGAUGCCUUGCUCGCGCAUUGCCCCAAGCUGAAGAUCCUCUCCUUUGCCAUGGCGUACAACUUCCCUUCUUGCCUCCGCAUCAGGUCCCGCAGCCUCCGUAUCGUGGUCGAAUGGCUAUGCAGCUUCGACGAAGUCAUCGUCGAGGAUGCACCCUGCCUGGAGCGCCUGUUCUUCGAAAGCUUUUCCGACCGGAGGCCCGUCAAGAUUGUCCACGCACCCAGGCUGGAGGUUCUCGGUUUCUUAGACCUCCAGCUCCAUGCGCUCGAGAUUGGCGGCAUUGUCAUCAGGGCUGGGAUGAAUGUGAGAGCUAGCGCCAUGCUGCCAAGUUUGAAGAUACUGGCUGUGAAGGUGCGGUUUUCGCAUGCCACGGAGGCUAAGAUGCUGCACACCCUACUCAGAUGCUUUCCUCGCCUUCAGACGCUCCACGUCAUGUUCCAGUCCAUUGGAUCCAGGUCACCUGAUAGUGUUGAUCGUGCUGACUUCUGGCAGCCCAUGGGCACAUGCGAUUGCCUUGAAUCUCAUCUGGAGACGCUUGUCCUCCACGGCUUCCAGGGCCUUGAAUGUGAGCAGCUGUUCGUCAGUUACAUACUUGAGAAGGGGAAGGUGCUUAAGACCCUGAGCGUUGUUUGUGUUGACAGUGAGGAUGUAGGAGUAGAGGAAGGCCCUGUCUCAGAUUCUGCUGAUGAGAGCAAUGUGUCAUCUGGCGGAAGAAGUAACAGUGAUGAUGUGGUAAUGGAGGGAGGCCUGAUGUCAGGUUCUGUUGAUGAGGGCGAUAUAUCAUCAGGCGGAAGCAGUAGCAGUGAUGGUGUGGUAAUGGAGGGAGGUCCGAUGUCAGGUUCCAUUGGUGAGGGCAAUGCGCCAUCAGGUGGAAGCAGUGGCAAUGAUAUGAUUUAUUUUUGUCCGGCCGCCUCUCGCUGGAGCUUUCAGAACGCCAUUGACUUGUCAGUGGAGGAUCCUUUCUGUGUGUUGUUGAGGCAGGCCCGGAUCACUUAUGUUGCUGUGGAAUGA
rnacentral:rRNA from 1 species